rnacentral:rRNA from 1 species
ACGAAGGAUUCAAGCGUUGUCCGGAUUUACUGGGUUUAAAGGGUGCGUAGGCGGAAAGCUAAGUCAGUGGUGAAAGCCCGCAGCUCAACUGCGGAACUGCCAUUGAAACUGGCCUUCUUGAAUACAGUGGAGGUAGAUGGAAUAUAACAUGUAGCGGUGAAAUGCUUAGAUAUGUUAUAGAACACCGAUUGCGAAGGCAGUCUGCUACACUGUCAUUGACGCUGAGGCACGAAAGCGUGGGGAGCGAACAGGAUUAGAUACCCUGGUAGUCCACGCCCUAAACGUUGAUUACUCGCUGUUGGCGAUACACUGUCAGCGGCUAAGCGAAAGCGUUAAGUAAUCCACCUGGGAAGUACGUCCGCAAGGAUG